rnacentral:misc_RNA from 1 species
UCCUCUCUCUCUCUCUCUCUCACUUAUAUUCAUCAGUUUAAUACUUCAUACACAUGCAUACUCAUGCAUAGAUAUAUGCAUGUAUGUAUCUAAUUAUGUGUGUGUAUGUUCUUAUGUGCAUUGAUGCGCAAUGGCAUAAGAUUUUUACAUUAUAUUAUACAUAUCCUCCUAUUGCUAUAUUUACCUGUCUUCCAUUUAAUUUAUUUAAAAACAAUUUUUUCACUUGUGCAUGUUGACAUGGAUAAAUAAGAGGCCAAAUGCAUAUUUCCCCCUAAACUUUACCAAAAUAAGUCUAGUGGCACUUCACCUUUUUUUUUUUUUUG